rnacentral:rRNA from 1 species
UACGGAGGGUGCAAGCGUUGUCCGGAAUCACUGGGCGUAAAGGGCGCGUAGGCGGCUCAUGAAGGCUGUGGUGAAAGUCCGGGGCUCAACCUCGGAUCGGCCGUGGCGACUCGUGGGCUGGAGCACUGUAGAGGCGGGUGGAAUUCCGGGUGUAGCGGUGGAAUGCGUAGAGAUCCGGAGGAACACCGGUGGCGAAGGCGGCUACCUGGACAGUGACUGACGCUGAGACGCGAAAGCGUGGGGAGCAAACAGG